UACAGAGGAUGCAAGCGUUAUCCGGAAUUAUUGGGCGUAAAGCGUCUGUAGGUGGCCAACUAAGUCAGACGUGAAAUCCCUCGGCUUAACCGGGGAACUGCAUCUGAUACUGGAUGGCUUGAGUUCGGGAGAGGAAUGUGGAAUUCCAGGUGUAGCGGUGAAAUGCGUAGAUAUCUGGAGGAACACCGGUGGCGAAGGCGGCAUCCUGGACCGGCACUGACGCUGAGGAGCGAAAGCGUGGGGAGCGAACAGG
rnacentral:rRNA from 1 species